rnacentral:rRNA from 2 species
CUUGACGGUACCUAAUCAGAAAGCCACGGCUAACUACGUGCCAGCAGCCGCGGUAAUACGUAGGUGGCAAGCGUUAUCCGGAAUUAUUGGGCGUAAAGCGCGCGUAGGCGGUCUCUUAAGUCUGAUGUGAAAGCCCACGGCUCAACCGUGGAGGGUCAUUGGAAACUGGGAAACUUGAGUGCAGAAGAGGAAAGUGGAAUUCCAUGUGUAGCGGUGAAAUGCGCAGAGAUAUGGAGGAACACCAGUGGCGAAGGCGACUUUCUGGUCUGUAACUGACGCUGAUGUGCGAAAGCGUGGGGAUCAAACAGGAUUAGAUACCCUGGUAGUCCACGCCGUAAACGAUGAGUGCUAAGUGUUAGGGGGUUUCCGCCCCUUAGUGCUGCAGCUAACGCA